GUAGGUGGCAAGCGUUGUCCGGAAUUAUUGGGCGUAAAGCGCGCGCAGGCGGUUCUUUAAGUCUGAUGUGAAAGCCCACGGGCUCAACCGUGGAGGGUCAUUGGAAACUGGAGAACUUGAGUACAGAAGAGGAAAGCGGAAUUCCACGUGUAGCGGUGAAAUGCGUAGAGAUGUGGAGGAACACCAGUGGCGAAGGCGGCUUUCUGGUCUGUAACUGACGCUGAGGCGCGAAAGCGUGGGGAGCAAACAGGAUUAGAUACCCUGGUAGUCCACGCCGUAAACGACGAGCGCUAAGUGUUAGGGGGUUUCCGCCCCUUAGUGCUGCAGCUAACGCAUUAAGCACUCCGCCUGGGGAGUACGGCCGCAAAGGCUG
rnacentral:rRNA from 1 species